AAGAUAUGAUGUGGUUAUAGCAAUAUUCAACAGGUGCCUAUAGUAUUGUAUACGUGUAUUGGAUUUUCGUAGUUAGAAGUAGAUGCCUUUAUAAUAUACGUAUUGCAUUACAGGUUGUUUUUUAUUGUUUGUAUUUUAAUUCAACAACAGGUUGUAUAUUUUAGAUUCUAAGUAGAGCGAAAAAGCUUAUGGUUUUAUAAUAAUGUUUUUUUUUUUUUUAAUUUUAAUUUUUUAAGUGUAAACAAUUUUUCUAACAGUUAUUGCUCCGAUUUAUGGAAAAAUGGAAAAAACACGGGAAAAUUGGGAGAACGGGAAAAAAGGCUAUCCCACAAAGAUGAAGAGGAAUAAAAAUAUUUAUAUUUGAAUUAAUUUUUUUUUUUUUAGUAGAAAAAUUACAAAAAAAACUUUUUAUUUUAUUAUUUUCGGAAAAAAUUAAGAUAGCCAUUCUGUAAAGUUUAUUAUUAUGAAAAUGUGUAUGUAUCACACAUUUAUAUCCGAUGAAUAGUUUCUAAGUAACAGCCGUUGUAAAUUCUACUAAUCUGUAUGAAAACCUAUGUUAUUUAAGGAAAAACCUAACCGCGUUACACGAUAACAUCGGUUUUCGUGGAAUUUUCUGUAUAUUGUUGAAAACACUAUCAACUGAACUCCGCUCAGAAUCGUUUUUUCGUUAGCUAUAGUCAAUCGUUCCUAACAGAGAUACAUUAAAUUUCCGUCUAUUUCUGCACAUACACAAAUUUUUACCUGUACACGAUUCGUUUACGCACAUUAAAAAUACGUUUUACCUGCACUGGAAGUACCACACCGGAAUAUACACAGUACUCAAAGUACAACACACAUAAAUCUUUUACCUAUCGUAAAAAUGUAAUAUUAAAUAUUAUUAAGAAGAUAAGAUACAAAAAUCGAUAAAUCAAAUGUAAUCUUGUAGGUAGGUCAAAACUAGAAAGUUUAAAUUUUUUUUUCAAUCAGUUGUUCACCAGUAACUAAAUAUGAACAGAGUGUAAUUAGUAAAUACAAAAAUAUAAAUGCCUAUGGAUAUUCACGUUUAUAAUAUUUUGAAUACUCGAACAUGCACACACACAUUUUUAAUCACGCCUGUGGAAAACAGAUAGUCCUAAGCCUAUAUUAAAGUGAGAAGGGAAAUGUGCUGUUGUGCUAAAAAACGAAUCGUAAAAAGGUAAAUGUGCGUA